rnacentral:rRNA from 1 species
GAUGAACGCUGGCGGCGUGCCUCAAACAUGCAAGUCGAGCGGGGCUAUGUAAUAUCGCAAGGUAGAACAUAGCCUAGCGGCGAACGGGUGAGUAACACGUGGGUAACCUGCCUGGAAGACAGGGAUAACGAUUCGAAAGGGUCGCUAAUACCUGAUAAUAUCCUUUCAUCGCAUGGUGAUAGGAAGAAAGGGGAAACCCGCUUUCAGAUGGGCCCGCGUCCCAUCAGCUAGUUGGUAAGGUAAAGGCUUACCAAGGCGACGACGGGUAGCCGGUCUGAGAGGAUGUACGGCCACACUGGGACUGAGAUACGGCCCAGACUCCUACGGGAGGCAGCAGUUGGGAAUCUUAGGCAAUGGACGAAAGUCUGACCUAGCGACGCCGCGUGAGGGAAGAAGGCCUUGGGUUGUAAACCUCUGUCAUGGGGAAGAAGUAAGUGACGGUACCCAAGAGGAAGCCCCUGCUAACUACGUAGCCAGCAGCCGCGGUAACUAGUACUCUAU